rnacentral:sRNA from 1 species
GCACACUUACUUGGGAGCGAGAGAACAGAUUCAUCUCUGAUGUCAGUGGGAUCUAUUUUUUUUCUUCUUCAAGACUUCGCCGUGGACUAUGUAUACUGAUGAACCAAUGCAAGGGACUUAGCUGCAGGAAAGAUUCAAUGUUGGCUUUCGAAUUGUUCGUUGGUGAACCAAAGACCUACGCUAUAGGAUAAAACAGCAUAGAUAUAAUCGGUGACAAGAAGACUACGUCAAUGAAUUAUCAGAGCUAUACUCGACACAUUACUGUCGAGGCUCAUUAGUCUUAUUUCGAUGAUUGUGUCCCUUGCCAUUUCACUUGUGGUGUUAUUGCCCUUGAGUUUGGAGCAAGGACCAGAGUUAAGGCCACAACUAAAUUUACAUUUUCUUGACCCAAACCCAAACGCUGACCCAGAGUCAUAUGACGUCGACAUUGAGACACAGUUAAA